rnacentral:rRNA from 1 species
UACGAAGGGGGCUAGCGUUGUUCGGAAUUACUGGGCGUAAAGCGCACGUAGGCGGACAUUUAAGUCAGGGGUGAAAUCCCAGAGCUCAACUCUGGAACUGCCUUUGAUACUGGGUGUCUUGAGUAUGGAAGAGGUGAGUGGAAUUCCGAGUGUAGAGGUGAAAUUCGUAGAUAUUCAGAGGAACACCAGUGGCGAAGGCGGCUCACUGGUCCAUUACUGACGCUGAGGUGCGAAAGCGUGGGGAGCAAACAGG